UGUGGUGGUCAUAGCGGCGGGGAUACGCCCGGCUCCCUUUCCGAACCCGGAAGCUAAGCCCGCCAGCGCUGAUGGUACUGCACUCGCUAGGGUGUGGGAGAGUAAGACGCCGCCACAU
rnacentral:rRNA from 1 species